rnacentral:lncRNA from 10 species
CAGCCUCAGACUGCAGUUGAUCAGCGGGGAAUAACUAUGAUGGUUCGGAAGGUUUCAGGUGGCAAAUAUCACUUCAGUUCUUUCUUCAGGAUUUCAGCAUCUGGCUAUCUUUGUUGUGCAGUGUUAUCAAACCAUUGAGAGAAACAGAACUUUCCUCAAAGCCAAGAAACAGCUUUCAAAAGGAAGUUUCCCAAAAACUCUUCUAAAAGUACCAGCAUAUCUUCAAACCAAAUGGAGUCUCGCUUUGUCAUCCGGGCUGGAUGUGGUGCGAUCAUAGCUCUGCCUACUCGAACUCCUGGGCUCAAGCGAUCCUCCUGCUUCAUCCUCGCAAGUACCUGGGACUACAGGCACAUGCCACCACACCCAGCUGAGAGCUUAUUUUGUUGGAUACUAGACAUAUGAAGUACUGAAAUACAAAGGGAUUAGGACUGCAAACAAGUUUAUAAGAUUCCAAGAUUGCAGUGAAUUCGUCUGACCCAGAUACGACAGAAGAUCCUCUCUGGUGAAUAUGUGCAACCGUUCUGAACCUCUCUUUUGAAAACUUUACUCUUCUUCUGAUUUGAUUCCAUAAUUGGAAAUUAAAUGGAAACUCAUGCCUUCCUAAAAGUGUUGUAAUUACAUAUUUUGUAUUUCUUUUACCUGAAGUUGUCUGUUGUCAUCUUAUACAUCUUACUUAGGAGCCAUUGACCUUGUGGCAACGCUCCGAAGCAUCACUCUCUGUUCAAGGCACCACACACCUGCAGUGAAGAUGCAGGGAUUAGGUGUAUGUUUCAGGUGUCUAUAGUAGGCUCAAGUUAGCUCACUUGUCUGGAAACUUCUAAUACCUUCAGAAUCAUAGCCCAGCUUAAAGUCUUAGCCAGUAUUUCUGUGCACAUUUCACUGGUAUUACAAAUCAAUCACUGUCACAUUCACCUCACUCAUCACUGCAGUAAUUAUUUUAAGAACUUGUGCUUGUGCCAUUUUGUAUUCACAAUUAGGUAUAAUUGGC